rnacentral:misc_RNA from 1 species
UACAGAGGCUCCAAGCGUUAGGCGGAAUCACUGGGCUUAAAGCGUGCGUAGGCGGCCCUCCAAGUGUCUUGUGAAAGCCCACGGCUCAACCGUGGAACUGCUUGGCAUACUGGAGGGCUUGAAUCACCUAGGGGCGAGCGGAACUGACAGUGGAGCGGUGAAAUGCGUAGAUAUUGUCAGGAACGCCGAAGGCGAAAGCAGCUCGCUGGGGGUGUAUUGACGCUGAGGCACGAAAGCUAGGGUAGCGAACGGG